rnacentral:rRNA from 1 species
UACGUAGGGUGCGAGCGUUAAUCGGAAUUACUGGGCGUAAAGCGUGCGCAGGCGGUUCGCUAAGACCGAUGUGAAAUCCCCGGGCUUAACCUGGGAACUGCAUUGGUGACUGGCGAGCUAGAGUGUAGCAGAGGGGGGUAGAAUUCCACGUGUAGCAGUGAAAUGCGUAGAGAUGUGGAGGAAUACCGAUGGCGAAGGCAGCCCCCUGGGCUAACACUGACGCUCAUGCACGAAAGCGUGGGGAGCAAACAGG